rnacentral:rRNA from 1 species
UUGAUCCUGGCUCAGGAUGAACGCUGGCGGCGUGCUUAAUACAUGCAAGUCGAGCGAAGCGCUUUAACGGAAUUCUUCGGAAGGAAGCUAAAGUGGCUGAGCGGCGGACGGGUGAGUAACGCGUGGGUAACCUGCCUCAUACAGGGGAACAACAGUUAGAAAUGACUGCUAAUACCGCAUAUGCCUUAAUUACCACAUGGUAGUAGAGGGAAAGGAGCAAUCCGCUGAUAGAUGGGCUUGCGUCUGAUUAGAUAGUUGGUAAGGUAACGGCUUACCAAGUCGACGAUCAGUAGCCGGACUGAGAGGUUGAACGGCCACAUUGGGACUGAGAUACGGCCCAGACUCCUACGGGAGGCAGCAGUCGGGAAUAUUGCGCAAUGGAGGAAACUCUGACGCAGUGACGCCGCGUGCAGGAAGAAGGUUUUCGGAUUGUAAACUGCUUUAGACAGGGAAGAAACAAGACAGUACCUGUAGAAUAAGCUCCGGCUAACUACGUGCCAGCAGCCGCGGUAAUACGUAGGGAGCAAGCGUUAUCCGGAUUUAUUGGGUGUAAAGGGUGCGUAGACGGGAAUGCAAGUUGGUUGUGAAAUCCCUCGGCUCAACCGAGGAAUUGCAACCAAAACUAUAUUUCUUGAGUGCUGGAGAGGAAAGUGGAAUUCCUAGUGUAGCGGUGAAAUGCGUAGAUAUUAGGAGGAACACCAGUGGCGAAGGCGACUUUCUGGACAGUAACUGACGUUGAGGCACGAAAGUGUGGGGAGCAAACAGGAUUAGAUACCCUGGUAGUCCACACCGUAAACGAUGGAUACUAGGUGUAGGGGAUGAAUAAUCUUCUGUGCCGUCGCAAACGCAGUAAGUAUCCCACCUGGGGAGUACGGCCGCAAGGUUGAAACUCAAAGGAAUUGACGGGGGCCCGCACAAGCAGUGGAGUAUGUGGUUUAAUUCGACGCAACGCGAAGAACCUUACCAGGGUUUGACAUAUACAUGAAAAUCUAAGAGAUUAGAUCCCUCUUCGGAGCAUGUAUACAGGUGGUGCAUGGUUGUCGUCAGCUCGUGUCGUGAGAUGUUGGGUUAAGUCCCGCAACGAGCGCAACCCCUGUUCUUAGUUGCCAGCAUGUAAAGAUGGGAACUCUAAGAAGACUGCCGGUGAUAAAUCGGAGGAAGGUGGGGACGACGUCAAAUCAUCAUGCCCUUUAUGUCCUGGGCUACACACGUACUACAAUGGCUGUAACAAAGGGAAGCGAACCCGCGAGGAGGAGCAAAACCCAUAAAAGCAGUCUCAGUUCGGAUUGAAGGCUGAAAUUCGCCUUCAUGAAGCCGGAAUUGCUAGUAAUGGCAGGUCAGCAUACUGCCGUGAAUACGUUCCCGGGCCUUGCACUCACCGCCCGUCA